rnacentral:rRNA from 1 species
AUUGAACGCUAGCGGGAUGCUUUACACAUGCAAGUCGAACGGCAGCGCGGACUUCGGUCUGGCGGCGAGUGGCGAACGGGUGAGUAAUGUAUCGGAACGUGCCCAGUAGCGGGGGAUAACUACGCGAAAGCGUAGCUAAUACCGCAUACGCCCUACGGGGGAAAGCCGGGGAUCGUAAGACCUUGCACUAUUGGAGCGGCCGAUAUCGGAUUAGCUAGUUGGUGAGGUAACGGCUCACCAAGGCGACGAUCCGUAGCUGGUUUGAGAGGACGACCAGCCACCCGGGGACGGAGAAACGGCCCAGACACCUGAGGGGGGCAACAGUUGGGAAUUUUGGGCAAUGGGGGCAACCCUGAUCCAGCCAUCCCGCGUGUGCGAUGAAGGCCUUCGGGUUGUAAAGCACUUUUGGCAGGAAAGAAACGUCGCGGGCUAAUACCCCGUGGAACUGACGGUACCUGCAGAAUAAGCACCGGCUAACUACGUG